rnacentral:pre_miRNA from 17 species
AUUAAAAUUGCAUACUGCCUCACAUUCCUGGUUUAUUCUAAAGGAAAUGUGAGGCAGUAUGCAAUUUUAAA